ACGAACGCUGGCGGCAGGCCUAACACAUGCAAGUCGAGCGCCCCGCAAGGGGAGCGGCGCACGGGUGAGUAACGCGUGGGAACAUGCCCCGAGGUCGGGAAUAACGGCGGGAAACUGCCGCUAAUACCUGGUAAGCCUUGAGAGGGAAAGGAGAAAUCCGCCUUGGGAGUGGCCCGCGUUGGAUUAGCUAGUUGGUGGGGUAAAAGCCUACCAAGGCAACGAUCCAUAGCUGGUCUGAGAGGAUGAUCAGCCACACUGGGACUGAGACACGGCCCAGACUCCUACGGGAGGCAGCAGUGGGGAAUAUUGGACAAUGGGGGAAACCCUGAUCCAGCCAUGCCGCGUGAGUGAAGAAGGCCCUAGGGUUGUAAAGCUCUUUCGCACGCGACGAUGAUGACGGUAGCGUGAGAAGAAGCCCCGGCUAACUUCGU
rnacentral:rRNA from 1 species